AUUGAACGCUGGCGGCAUGCCUUACACAUGCAAGUCGAACGGCAGCACGGGUGCUUGCACCUGGUGGCGAGUGGCGAACGGGUGAGUAAUACAUCGGAACAUGUCCUGUAGUGGGGGAUAGCCCGGCGAAAGCCGGAUUAAUACCGCAUACGAUCUACGGAUGAAAGCGGGGGACCUUCGGGCCUCGCGCUAUAGGGUUGGCCGAUGGCUGAUUAGCUAGUUGGUGGGGUAAAGGCCUACCAAGGCGACGAUCAGUAGCUGGUCUGAGAGGACGACCAGCCACCGUGGGACGGAGACACGGCCCAGACCCCGACGGGAGGCAGCAGGGGGGAUUUUUGGAAAAGGGGCGAAAGCCUGCUCCAGCAAUGCCGCGUGUGGGAAGAAGGCCUUCGGUUUUUAAAGCACUUUUGUCGGGAAGGAAGCCUUGGCCCCUAAUACGGUGGGGGGUUGACGGUACCGAAAAAAUAAGCCCCGGCUAACUGCGUG
rnacentral:rRNA from 1 species